rnacentral:rRNA from 1 species
GACGAACGCUGGCGGCGUGGAUUAGGCAUGCAAGUUGAGCGACGGUUAAGGGCUUGCCCUUAAUACGGAGCAGCGAACGGGUGAGUAACGCGUGGGAAUGUGCCCUUUGGUACGGAACAACUGAGGGAAACUUCAGCUAAUACCGUAUGUGCCCUUCGGGGGAAAGAUUUAUCGCCAUUGGAGCAGCCCGCGUUGGAUUA